GAUUAGUGGCGAACGGGUGUGUAACACGUGAGUAACCUGCCCUUGACUCUGGGAUAAGCCUGGGAAACCGGGUCUAAUACUGGAUACGACUCUUCUGGCGCAUGCCAUGUUGGUGGAAAGCUUUUGUGGUUUUGGAUGGACUCGCGGCCUAUCAGCUUGUUGGUGGGGUAAUGGCCUACCAAGGCGACGACGGGUAGCCGGCCUGAGAGGGUGACCGGCCACACUGGGACUGAGACACGGCCCAGACUCCUACGGGAGGCAGCAGUGGGGAAUAUUGCACAAUGGGCGCAAGCCUGAUGCAGCGACGCCGCGUGAGGGAUGAAGGCCUUCGGGUUGUAAACCUACUUUCAGUAGGGAAGAAGCCGGCCUUCGGGUUGGUGACGGUACCUGCAGAAGCGCCGGCUAACUACGUGCCAGCAGCCGCGGUAAUACGUAGGGCGCAAGCGUUAUCCGGAAUUAUUGGGCGUAAAGAGCUCGUAGGCGGUUUGUCGCGUCUGCCGUGAAAGUCCGGGGCUUAACCCCGGGCCUGCAGUGGGUACGGGCAGACUAGAGUGCGGUAGGGGAGACUGGAAUUCCUGGUGUAGCGGUGAAAUGCGCAGAUAUCAGGAGGAACACCGGUGGCGAAGGCGGGUCUCUGGGCCGUAACUGACGCUGAGGAGCGAAAGCAUGGGUAGCGAACAGGAUUAGAUACCCUGGUAGUUCCAUGCCGUAAACGUUGGGCGCUAGGUGUGGGGCUCAUUCCACGAGUUACCGUGCCGCAGCAAACGCUAUUAAGC
rnacentral:rRNA from 1 species